CUCACUUUCCCCAAAUCAGCCACAAUGGCGUCUUCCAAGUCUGUCGUCCUGCUGGUCCCCUCCGAUUCCUCCUCCGCUCGCUGACACCGGUACUCCCCUGCUCUCGGCCGUGGAUGAAUCCGCGCAAGGACGCCGGCUAGUGCGCGCCUCCGGCCACGCCGGUUGCUGCUGGAUUCCCCGACGCCGCUGCCCGCCUCCCCUCCCCUGGACGGCUAGGUCGCUAAGGCCUACUGUGCUUCGUCGGCCGUCAGCCAGCUCUAUCCGUCGAGCAGUGCUGCUUCAGCUCAACGCACAUGCCUGCCUCCCUAGAAUGCCGGCGGUGCAGGCUGCACUAUAACCAGCCCGUUUUACCACUAGAUCUGUGGGGCGCCGGCGGCAGCAGGCAGCUGUAGCCCCCGCUCCCUGACCAGCAUGACCAUGAGUAACAGCGGAUGCAGAGGACAAGCUCGAGGAUGGCGAUUCAGAGGAGCAGCAAUGCUAAGUGAUGCAUCUGCAAGGCGGUCAAUUGCUGAUAUGGCAUCGUCGGCUGUCCGUUUUUGCCCUCUUCCAGUUUCUUUUGAUACACUUCCAGUGGACUUCUUUUUUUCUUGCUCAAUGGUAGUUGACUUCUUCAUGAAGACACCAGGGGAAGUAUUGUUUUCAUCAGAAUCAAUCUCAUGAACUUCAACAUCCAUAUUGAGAUCAAUCUGUGAAGAUUUGCUUGUACAUGCAGCAUCUUUUCCUUUGCUAGAUACGGCACCAGCUCCAGAUGCUGUUGAAGUAGCACAUAUGGCUUGAAGAUCUACCCAACUAGGCCACACCUUAUCUCGAUAUUCCUGGAGAUACAAGAAGAAAUAAUGCAAGAUGAGUCAUUUUGUUCAUUACGAUAAAUCUACGAAGUGGAAGAAAAUGAGCAUGCCACUAAUAUUUCGAUCUUUUGAGGGGUAAUCCUGUGGUCGUUGUACACAAAUGGGAGUCUAGGAGUGAACUAAUCUUUUGUUCAAAGUGUGACUGGACACUUCAAUUUUUGUCGCAUGUUCGCCUAAUGGGAUGUUCCCUGACCAGUUACUUUGCUGGGUUGCAGCCAAGAUCUCAAGCAUGAAGUUCAUUUACUAUAAAGCUGGGCUAGGUUUCCCCACUUAUUGCCGCAACUUCACAUUGGACAUCACAAGGAUGGGUGAAGCCACGAAUCCUGAUUGAAGACCGGAAGAUGAUGAUGAUAACAAGAGCUCGAUGGAGGUGUGCAGUCCUAUUGAAGAUGGCCAAGUUCAGAUCCAAAGGCGAUGUAUUCCAUCCAGUGCCUGUGGCCGGGGAUCGCAUCCAGCCUGUGCGAUCUGUGUGGAGAACGCACCCUGCGGCCAACAAAAUCCUGUUAUAUAGGCAAUGGAAAAAGGCGGGAGGUGAGUCGCAGAAAGAAAAAUUGGCGCCAAUGUGGUUGUUCAGGAAAGGGUGGAGGCGGAGAUGGACAGUUGCGAUCUGUAUUUGUUAAUCGGGUUUGUGGAAAAACGACUAAUACUCGUUUUCCCACAAACCUGGAAUUCUGGGCCUUUGUGAAACGAGUUUCCUAUAUGCAUGGGUUA